UCUCCCAUUUCAUCUGUGUUGUUAUGCAUUCAUAUCGGAUUUAUUUGGUUUUCUUUGUGUAUCAGAUCUUAAUUUUAAUUUUGAUUGUGGAAAACCCUAAUUUUCGUAAAAUGGCGAUUUAUAUGCAGAGGAAGAUGCGAAGAACUCCAAGUUCGUCCAGCAACACAGAAGAAACAAGCCACAAGAUAAGAUGAAAGACAUGUUCGGAUUUUGAGCUGUGUGUAACGUCUAGGGGCGAGUGGCUUCGCCAAAAUUGUUUACCUCAUUCAAGAUUUGAAAAAAUGGAGUCUUUGUAGCAGCAAAAGCUAUGGCAAGAAAGUAUUGUUUUUUCCUUCUUUAAUAUAAAAGCUUGUUCUUUUGCUA